UCAAACUAUGUUGACAAAAAGCAGACAGUUGAGAUUUUUUGGUUCUAAGUUUGGUUUGAGCUUGGCUUUUCUAUUAGGUUUGCUUUUCCUCUGUAUCGACUGUUCUCCAGGUGAACUGUGUCUUUGUCCUUGUUCUCCCUUCCCUGCUCCAUGUCUGACCGGCCACAAGUCUUCCAUCCUGUGGAGUGUUCCUACUGCCGCUGCGAGAGCAUGAUGGGCUUCCGCUACCGAUGCCAGCAGUGCCACAACUACCAGCUCUGCCAGAACUGCUUUUGGCGUGGCCAUGCCAGCGGCCCGCACAGCAACCAGCACCAGAUGAAGGAGCAUUCCUCUUGGGUAACUGCCUUGUCUUUCAGUCUGUGCCCCAGACCAGGAAUCUUGUCACUUGUAGUGAUACCUGGGCCAGCAUCCUAAAGGUUGCCCUACUGGAUGAGGGGACGGCAUAAUGAAGUAGCUCCACGGUGAUACUGGGUCGCAGAAGUGUUAUGCUCCCUCACUUGAUUUUAAAAGCAGAAAUUUAAAGCGUUCCAGGAAGUGGAGAUAUUAUUACAUUUGAAAUGGUCUUUUUUAUUCAGUAAAAUUAAAUGUGACAAUGCUCCCUUUCCAAAGUGAAAAAGUUUCUUCUGCAUUUAGAAUUAAACAUAGGGUGUUUCCCCAGUGCUUAUUCAUUUGAGCUUUUAGUAGGCUUAAAGUUCUCUUUUCAAGCAAAUUUUCUUCACUUUGGAAGGGUUUCCAUGUUAUAAAGCAAGUGACGUAAAUAAAAGAGUUACAUUUGGGGUUUCCUGUGUUGGGGGAAAUAUUGUAUUUUAUAAUCAAUGCCACAUAUGCCUUUAUUUUCAAAAGUAUUUUUAAAAUAGCAAUAUUUGGGUGGAGGUUGAUAUCUUUUUUCCCCUGAGGUAUUCAUAAAUCAUGUAAUGUGUAUAUCAAUUUGUUUCUGGGGUUUGAAAAUGUCAUCCUUAUCUUUCCAUAAAGUUGCUCAAGUUUUUGUUUUAAAACCUUUUCUUUAGUUUUUGUUGGUUGGUUUGUUGGUAGCAUUGCUAAGAGAAAAUAGUAGGUCAGAAAUAAAAUUCUGGAUCUUGGUUCUUAACCCUGGUCAUCCUACUUUAAUAUUCGAAUUUCAGGUAUUAAAAAGCCUUCAUAACCACCCCCUAUUCCCAC
rnacentral:lncRNA from 1 species